rnacentral:rRNA from 1 species
CAUCGAAUGUCCACAUUCAAUAUGGGGAGGCAUAACUUUAUGUUGUGCCGGACUCACCACUUUUUUUUCCCGUGGGCAGUCGUGGAGUGAACCCGUGGAGGCAGGGAGAGGAACACGUGACAAGCUAAGGCAGGGUGUUUUCAGAGAGCGGAGGGAGUUAGGGGAAGCGGGGCGCAGCGGCUUUGGGGGCGGAGGAGGCUGCCGGGGGAGGAGACGGGCAAGGAGUGCGGGAACUUCGCGGCCGGACUACGCUAAGGCAGGGAGCGACAUUAGUUCGGGAUCGGGCGAAGCUAAUAGCCGAGAGGCACCCGUUAGCUCUUAAGGCGGCCGAUAAAGAAGAGGUUAUUGGAUGGGUUCCAUAGCAAAGGUCCUCGGGACGGGGGUAUCAUCGGUUCUCCGGCCGCAGCCCCCGGCUAAACGACGAUGAAAACUCCUCAACCAUGGGACAGCCACCGGGCAGCCGACGUCCCAGAACCAAGCACCUCAAGAAAAGUCCCGAAAAGAACCCCCCCAGUACCCUCGAAAGACGAGCACAAACGUUCGGCUAAUGAGGCUGGUGGUACCGUUGGUCUGAAGACCACGCAAAUCCUUGACGUACACGGAGUCCACAAAAUGGGUCGUCGACUAGUUGCGAAUGUGACAAAAUAAGGCUCAACCUUGCCAGGUGAGACAAAGAGUUCGAUAUCUUCGGUGGGGCGAACUAAGUAGACUUUCAAGUAAGCUAUGUAUAGCAAGUGGAGGUUCUGGUGACGGUAUACUACUAGGAUCUAAGAGGGGAGGAGACGCGCUGACCAAACGUAGUUCCGUACUAGGAAGUUCGGUAAGUGGUCUCCUUAGUCUUGGUGAGUCUGGUUUAAUACUACUCCUUUACCUUUGCUACUCAAGUCAGCUGUUCGGUUCAUUUUGUUUGAUACUGUGUUUUUACUUUUCUUCGUCGAGACGAAUACCUCUAUUCAACAGGGCUUUCCUUAGACCUUUAAUAAAGUGGAUGAAAAGAGGUAGAUGACUUCUACUUCUACAGACGGGUUGUACAGAACUUCUAAUAUGAAGCCUCUUAGGAUCCUAUCAUUACGUCACGAGUGUAGUGAAGGUGGAACCGACAUAGAUACUCACCUACCUUUCUUCACUCCGUACGGGACAAACACCUUUCUUUUACCUCAAGUUGCUCUGCUGAAUCUGGAGUCUGACCUCGUUCAAAUUGUAGAGUAUACCCUUGGACUUUUAUAUCC